AGAAGAAAGACCAGAACCUUCUAGUCCAAUAUCAAGCAAAUAUCGCAUAAGGGUGAUAAUCCAUGGGCAUCAUCCAAAUGAAAGUCUAGCAGAAGGUCAAAGCAACACAUUGGGAAAGCUCAUACACUUGCCUGAUUCAAUAGAAGAUCUUUUUAGAUUAGCAGAAAAGAAGUUUGGCAAACAAGGAAACACAAUUCUCAUGGAGGAUGGCUCACAAGUGGAAGACUUGGUUGCUUUAAGAGAGAAUGAUCACUUAUUUAUUUUCUGAAAAUUGAAAUAAUAUUUUUACUAAAUUUCAG
rnacentral:misc_RNA from 1 species